rnacentral:lncRNA from 1 species
CACGACUCAACCCACAACACCUCCUCAAACCACAUUUUAUAAACCGCUGCUCAGCCAUACAUCUCAGACAAGAAAUAUUUGAAAUUACACUUGUGACGUCAAAUGACAGAAAGAUGGCAGGGGAGUAACAGAAGGCCUACACCCAACCCUAUGUCCACACAGCACUAAGCUCCCCAGAGUCUUGUGGCCCCAAUGGACAUGCUCCACCAAUACCUGCAGCCACCAGGAGUUAGAGGAGUGACUUUAGAGCAGCUGGCGGGGAAUUAGGGAAGGAAUCCACCUGCAGAGGCACUUUUUCCAGGGUCUUUCGGAGAAGCGCUUUUCGUGGAAGCCUACCCAGUCUUCAUCUGGCUGUGAUGCCCCAGACAUUUCUUCUAAGUUUCCGGCCUCUGCGUGGAGCCUCAGCCCCCUGAUCCGAGAGCAUUUCCUUCCUUCCCCUGCUCAGCACUGCAGGCUGGGCUCCCCUGUCAGCUGCAUUCCAGCAGGGUUUGGCCUUGGGAAGGCAAUGGCAGGAAACAGGUGGAAAUAUGAGGGUUAACAUCCGGAGGUCAAAACAUCUCUCAAGAACCUCUUUGCCUUGGCUUCUCAGAGCCACCUUUGGAUUAUACAGUAAUUUCACCCGCCGCGACACCUCACUUUAUUCAUCAUAUCAGUCAUUCACCGAUUGGCUCUUCCUCAGACGGGAUGAGUGGCGACCACUUACCGUAUUCCAAACGAAGCCUGAGGAAAGGCAGAAAGCAGACUGAGAAACUUUCUGAGUUACCAAGAACGGCACAUUUUCCAAAGUCAUCUUCAGAAGUGUUCCGGGAGAAAGAGAGGAUAGCUCAGAAAACAGAGCCAGGAGCCAUGGACAAUGGAAUGAAGAACCACACCCGACAAGCCCAGGCCGGCUUUCUGUUCCCACAAGGAUACAGUCACAGAAGCAGAGCUGAGCCUGGUGUGGAUCAACUGACCUCCAGCCGAUCCCUAGAUGCGUGAGCAAGCCCAGCCAAGAUCAGCACAGCCCAGCCAAGAUCAUCUGAGCCUGGACCAGACUAUCUGAUCCGUGGACACAAGAUACAGAAUAAACCCUCUUUGUGGUGCCACUUCCAUCCUCACUUCACAGUUGAAGGAACUGAGGCACAGAGAGGCUAAGGGAUCACUCCAGCUACACAACCAAGAUGAAGGGGAGCCAGAAUUUGAACCCAAGUAGUCUGGUUCUAGAGUCCAUGGUCUACAGCACUUUCCUUUUCUCCCUCUGAGUCCCAGAAAUGUCCACAGUCACACUGGACAGAAAAGUGAUCAGACAACAAACUCCAUGCUUUGUUUUGGGUUUGGAAUUUUACUUUAUGUUUUUUCCAAUCAUUAAAAAAAAUGCACAUUCAUCACAAAAAAUUUGGAAAUUCAGGAAAAAAUAAUGAAGAAUAUUAAAUCACCUAGGAGUACUAUU